CGGAGGGAAACCGAGUCUUAAUUGGGCGUUAAGUUGCAGGGUAUAGACCCGAAACCCGGUGAUCUAGCCAUGGGCAGGUUGAAGGUUGGGUAACACUAACUGGAGGACCGAACCGACUAAUGUUGAAAAAUUAGCGGAUGACCUGUGGCUGGGGGUGAAAGGCCAAUCAAACCGGGAGAUAGCUGGUUCUCCCCGAAAGCUAUUUAGGUAGCGCCUCGUGAAUUCAUCUCCGGGGGUAGAGCACUGUUUCGGCUAGGGGGCCAUCCCGGCUUACCAACCCGAUGCAAACUGCGAAUACCGGAGAAUGUUAUCACGGGAGACACACGGCGGGUGCUAACGUCCGUCGUGAAGAGGGAAACAACCCAGACCGCCAGCUAAGGUCCCAAAGUCAUGGUUAAGUGGGAAACGAUGUGGGAAGGCCCAGACAGCCAGGAUGUUGGCUUAGAAGCAGCCAUCAUUUAAAGAAAGCGUAAUAGCUCACUGGUCGAGUCGGCCUGCGCGGAAGAUGUAACGGGGCUAAACCAUGCACCGAAGCUGCGGCAGCGACACUCAGGUGUUGUUGGGUAGGGGAGCGUUCUGUAAGCCUGUGAAGGUGGCCUGUGAGGGUUGCUGGAGGUAUCAGAAGUGCGAAUGCUGACAUAAGUAACGAUAAAGCGGGUGAAAAGCCCGCUCGCCGGAAGACCAAGGGUUCCUGUCCAACGUUAAUCGGGGCAGGGUGAGUCGACCCCUAAGGCGAGGCCGAAAGGCGUAGUCGAUGGGAAACGGGUUAAUAUUCCCGUACUUGGUGUUACUGCGAAGGGGGGACGGAGAAGGCUAUGUUGGCCGGGCGACGGUUGUCCCGGUUUAAGCGUGUAGGUGUGUGUUCCAGGUAAAUCCGGUUCACUUUAACACUGAGGCGUGACGACGAGGCACUACGGUGCUGAAGCAACAAAUGCCCUGCUUCCAGGAAAAGCCUCUAAGCAUCAGGUAACAUCAAAUCGUACCCCAAACCGACACAGGUGGUCAGGUAGAGAAUACCAAGGCGCUUGAGAGAACUCGGGUGAAGGAACUAGGCAAAAUGGUGCCGUAACUUCGGGAGAAGGCACGCUGACACGUAGGUGAAGUGAUUUACUCACGGAGCUGAAGUCAGUCGAAGAUACCAGCUGGCUGCAACUGUUUAUUAAAAACACAGCACUGUGCAAACACGAAAGUGGACGUAUACGGUGUGACGCCUGCCCGGUGCCGGAAGGUUAAUUGAUGGGGUCAGCGCAAGCGAAGCUCCUGAUCGAAGCCCCGGUAAACGGCGGCCGUAACUAUAACGGUCCUAAGGUAGCGAAAUUCCUUGUCGGGUAAGUUCCGACCUGCACGAAUGGCGUAAUGAUGGCCAGGCUGUCUCCACCCGAGACUCAGUGAAAUUGAACUCGCUGUGAAGAUGCAGUGUACCCGCGGCAAGACGGAAAGACCCCGUGAACCUUUACUAUAGCUUGACACUGAACAUUGAGCCUUGAUGUGUAGGAUAGGUGGGAGGCUUUGAAGUGUGGACGCCAGUCUGCAUGGAGCCGACCUUGAAAUACCACCCUUUAAUGUUUGAUGUUCUAACGUGGACCCGUAAUCCGGGUUGCGGACAGUGUCUGGUGGGUAGUUUGACUGGGGCGGUCUCCUCCUAAAGAGUAACGGAGGAGCACGAAGGUUGGCUAAUCCUGGUCGGACAUCAGGAGGUUAGUGCAAUGGCAUAAGCCAGCUUGACUGCGAGCGUGACGGCGCGAGCAGGUGCGAAAGCAGGUCAUAGUGAUCCGGUGGUUCUGAAUGGAAGGGCCAUCGCUCAACGGAUAAAAGGUACUCCGGGGAUAACAGGCUGAUACCGCCCAAGAGUUCAUAUCGACGGCGGUGUUUGGCACCUCGAUGUCGGCUCAUCACAUCCUGGGGCUGAAGUAGGUCCCAAGGGUAUGGCUGUUCGCCAUUUAAAGUGGUACGCGAGCUGGGUUUAGAACGUCGUGAGACAGUUCGGUCCCUAUCUGCCGUGGGCGCUGGAGAACUGAGGGGGGCUGCUCCUAGUACGAGAGGACCGGAGUGGACGCAUCACUGGUGUUCGGGUUGUCAUGCCAAUGGCACUGCCCGGUAGCUAAAUGCGGAAGAGAUAAGUGCUGAAAGCAUCUAAGCACGAAACUUGCCCCGA
rnacentral:rRNA from 1 species